GCUAACCGUAACCAAUAUCUUCAAAAACAUAACAACGUGACGCGAUAUAAACACUUCGGUGACAUUUCAAGGAUAAAUUUUCAAAUGACAGUCACGUUGUCACUGUGCUUUGGCGGUUUCCUAAUGAAUGCAUUAUUGUAUUGAUUAACUUAACAACGGUUUUUCUAUGACCUAUCAUGGAACUUAUAGAUAAAGGAUCUGUAAAUUCACCAGUUUUUUGUGAAUUAUGCCGAGGAAUUGGAACUAGUAGAUGUGGACGGUGUCAUACAGCAUAUUACUGUAGCCGCGAACAUCAAGUAGCUCACUGGUCUGUUCAUAAAAUGAUUUGCAAGAAAAAUGUUCCUGUACAGCAGCAACCGGCUACAGUUUUAAAUGCUUCUUGUAAUAGUACUACACAGUUAAAUAGUUUCUCCCCAUAUGGAAGUUGGUGCCAAAAUAAUUUACCAUGUGAGAAAAAUGAAGAUAUUGGUGCUAUGAUGGCUAAUGCACCAGCUCCUACAGUGCCAAAUGUUUUUGAUUCCUCAACCUUCAUAACAAAUAAUGAAAAAUCCAUGGAUCUUCAAAUUGAUGAAAUUUUUUCAACCCUAAAUAGUGAGUUACUAAGCUCUGAUAAUGCUUUCUGGGAUGAUAUAAGCACAUGUAAUGCUCAAGACAUGUUUGACUUUGGAACAGACCUUAUUAAAAACAGCAUCGUUGAAGGAGCAGUCGAUCCAUUUCCAGAAAACCUUCAGACAUCAUCUUAUUUGAAUGUAAUUGAGGACAGACAGUCAUCAAGUGCUGAAGAUACAAACAUAUUACAUUCUGUUCCACUUAAUGAUAUCUGCUCAAAUGUAGUUCAUGAUUUAAAUGCAUAUGGUAUAUGUGUCUUAGACAAGUUUAUUGGUACAAAAUUUGGAAAUAUGAUAUUGCAAGAAGUUAAAGAUCUGUACUACAGAGGUAUUUUUAGAAAAGGCGAACUUGUAAAUCCUAAUCCAUAUAUGUCUAAGGAAAGUGUUAGAAGUGAUGUCACAACUUGGGUUGAUGGUUCAGAACCAGGUUGUGAGAACAUUGGGAACUUAAUGAGAAAGCUGGAUGUGGUUGUGGCAACUUGCAACAAGAUGCGAAAUAAUGGAAUACUUUCAAAAUAUAAACUCCAUCGCAGAACCAAGGCUAUGAUAGCCUGCUAUCCUGGUGAUGGUACUUAUUAUAAGAAACACAUUGACAACCCUCAUAAAGAUGGCAGAUGCAUAACUUGCAUUUAUUAUUUAAAUAAAAACUGGGAUGUAAAGGUGUUCAGAAAGCAAGCUCCUUAAAUUUUGCAAUAGAUUGAUCCACAUAGUAGUUGUCUUAUUAAUGACUUGCUUAUGGAUUUUGGGUACAUGGGCUGCAACUGAUGAAACAAGAGCUAAAAAAAGCAGUGUUAUCUAAUGCUGUUGGUGAUUCUGAAGAUCACUGUAUGUGGGAAGAAGCCUGAAUGGUGAUGAUGAGACAACUUUCACACUCUAGCAGAUGACACAGACAGAAGUUCCAGCAGCAGUGGAUGAUUUGAGGUGUACGAAGUAGCAGUGGACUACAAUAAUAGUGAGUGAGAUUCAAGAAAGAGGCAGGGAAAUAGAAAUGAAGAUAUUUUAUUAGCAACAUGGUGGUUUGCUUAGAAUGUUCCCAGCAGCCCAUGAUUCUCAGGUGGCCAAUAUUGAACCAAUAUUUGAUCGAAUGCUUUUCUUUUGGUCAGAUAAAAGGAAUCCUCAUGAAGUGUUACCGUCUUUUGC